rnacentral:lncRNA from 1 species
UCCCUCUCGCCCUAUCCUUAAGUAUGAUUUCCAUGUGAAAGAAAAUUGACAGACCACUUUAUCCGUAAAAUAAAAGAUCAGUUAUUGUUCUCUCCUGAGUCCCGUUGCUGGUUGCCCUGGCUGGGAUUCACCCGAUCAAUGAAGCGUCCAUUGAGUCGAUCUAUUAUUAUCCAUCGGGUAAAGUCGUUACCGGGCGUAGAGUCAUUUCAGCCGACGAGAAAAUCUUGGCAAGAACGACGCAGAUUCACACUCGCGGCGAACCGAUCCAGAGAGCCAGGCCCAGUACCGGGGUCAGCGGGUACGGCACCCCAGGACCUCCGCUGUACCGUAGAUCGUGCUGGGAGAUCCUCCUUUCCGUGCGCUUUGGUGUCCAGGAGCUGCGGUUGGGUAUUGUGGAGGUUCGCAGGUGUUCAUAGAUGUUACGUGUGAUUUGUCGUGUAAUGGUUUGAACUGUAUCCUCGCGGCAACCUUGGAAUGUCCUGUAAUGAUGACGUAUGGUCUUUCUCUUCGUCUUUAAGUGGGAUGCAGUGCUAGUUCAUACACUUGAAUGGCACUUCUUGGUACCUUGCGCCUUUUUAUACGAAAUAUGGGGAGAAAAAGAGGGAGGGAGAGAGACAGAGGCAUUGCUGUUUAGGUCGUGCUGUUGUAUGUGACACGCAUACUGUUCAGUAUUGCAAAACGCGAAGGAUUUCCUCAAGUCACUCAUCGCCCGGGUAACCAAAUCUUACAUCAUGACCGGAGUGAUGUCAUGGCACGCGUACGCCAAAAAACUGCUUAGCGAACUUUCAAUCAUAACGCAUUCGUAAUGCCUUCGCGCUGCAACCCGCGAGCAAAGUACCUCAUCGUUUCCAGAUUCUAGGCAGAGAACGGCUUGGAAUGUGCCUUGACUCCUAAUCAUUGCCUGACCCAGCUGCCAAGCCGAGGCGAAGCAGCGUUGCCAUUGAUUGAGAUUUUGCCGACGUGGAAUCGGUCACGUCAGCGGAAUGGACUGGUUUCGAGAGCUCUGACGAAGCCCAAACCGACGGCCAAAUCUGCCACAGCUACAAGGAAGAUGAAGACAAGGAAGAUUACGAACGAAAAGAUGAGAACCUUCUUAUCAAGCAUAGAAAUCGGGAGACAUUUUCUGCACGCGUAUUGACAUGUCCUUGGUCACGUGAGACGGAGAGCACCCUGGGCCAUUCUUUCGUGAUUAGGACAGGAUGUGCUAUUGUUCGGCAAUGUGCAGAAAUGAUCCUGUGCUCUCGUAGCCGCCUGCAAGUCCCUGGCAAAAGGGUGAACCGAAGCCAGAGUCGAGUGUUCGAACAAGUCACGCAGGUUGUUUGAUGGGUAAAGGAGUCUACAGACAACGGAGAGUUUCAUUAGGGGACAAUUUAAUUAACAAUGUUUCGAUGAAUGAUUUGUAAUAGCAACAGCAUUUUAAGUAUUCGGCAUGGCAGCAAUGAAGUAAAGAUAUAAACUUAUUGUCACGCGUGGAAUGUUUAUAUAUAUAUAUAUAUAUAUAUAUAUAUUGAUGUACCAUCCUUUAAUUAUUUGACUGCCAUAAUCAAGUAUCUGUUUCAGUUGGCAGUCGUUCUCACUCUCAUGCAAAUCUCAGAGCAUUCUCUGACGGUGCUUAUUUUCUUUCAAUCUGUCACUUCAUCAGAGGGGUUUAAAUAGGUGUUCGUAGUAGGAUGUAAACCGUAUGUAUGGUUAUUUGGUAAUAAAGUAUGGGCAGUAGUUAACUGUUCCCUCGAUGAAUUGAAUGUACUGUGAGAAAUGGUUGGUAAUGUCAAUGGUGACAAUUGAUUUCACACACACACUCACACUUACACUCACACUUACACUCACACUCACACUCACACUCACACUCACACUCACACUCACACUCACACUCACACUCACACACACAUUUUGUGAACACUUGCAGUGCAUGUACUUAUACCCACCAUCGUGUACUGAAUUAUAGGUACACAGUAAUGAGCUCUCCAACAGCAGUGUUACAUUGGUCUAUGUAACAUUUAGUCGAUAUAUUGUGUUUAUGCAAUAUUUUUUUCAUAUUGAAUACAAACCUGUAUUCUGAUAACUAUUGAUUUUACUAAUAUUUUCAAUGCUAAAUUAAAAAUAACUUGAUAUUUCUUGUUACAAUUAUCAUUGAUUGUUCUGAAAUGCAUUCCUUGCAUAAACUGUAUCGUUUAGUGUUCUCCUUAAUCGCCCAAGGCAAAUUCACCUUCAGAUAUCAGAGACAUUUGGGUAAACUUGAACAGAUGCCCUUUUUCUCCUUUUCUUUCUUUUUUGUAAAGGUAUAGUUUAUACUAACUUACAUUUUUUAGAAUUCAGGACCCCCUAGUUUUAGCUCCGGGGCUUCCGUUAGGUAAAGGUCACACUGAUGGCUCUCUCGUUGGAGAAUAAUGCCAAAGAUUUACGUGCAGCCGCCACACAUAAUUCCCAGAUCUUCUUCAGGGAUGUUUGGGUCUUCUGUGCCUAUAUUGCCAUAUUAUGCCAGUGUUUCAGUUUCAGUGUUGGUUGUUUCAUUGACAAAAUUCGUGAUAACUAAUAAUGUAUAUAAAUAGGACUUGUUUGUAGUUCAUCCUACUACUAGGUUCAAAACAGGUUAGUAAGGUGCGGGACUUUCAUUGCAUUAGAAAUAAUUCCCUUUCCAUCUCUUUAGAUACUUGCAAACUCUAGACGAGGGUUUCAGACUAGAUCCUGUAAUUAAGUAUGAUGAUUUCACUUCCUGAUGUACUCCGAAAGCUGAAAGGACCAAAUGAGGAAUCUCGGUAGGUAGUAAUGCCACCAGUGCCAGUUGAAUGGGAAGUACUCUUCAUGGCUCUGACCUCUACCAAGACUGAAAUCGGUAGAUGUGGCAUUACGUAGGAUUUUCUUCUUUUCUUCGAAUUCUACCAGGAAUGCAGUUGGAAUAUAUGGGAUCAAGAACGUAAAUCAGUCCAGUUCUACACAUUACCAUGGAGUUGGGUAUACCCUCAUCUACAAAACUAGAGCUGGCACCUCCUGACAAGGCUGGUCAGCAAGGAUAUGGUGUAUAAGCCACCAGGUAGUAAUAAAAUAAUAUUACAUAUGAAAUGGCAGUGUAAUUGUUCUUUUAAUCACACCUAAUUUCUUUUCAACUUGUUAUUAGUAAUAGAUUUCUCUAUAAUAAGUGCUUAAAUAAUAAAUAUAGAAUAGAAAUGCAUUAUUAGUUCAUUCAUUGUGGAGUUACACCAUAAUUGUUCUGUUAAGUAUAAUGAUACUUCACCAUUGAGUCUAACGAGAAUUAUUUUGUAAACCCCCUUAUGUACAUCCAAGAAACCCUUCUUUGAGAAUCUCUGAUCAGGAGUGAGAACAUUUAUGCCAAAAUAUGAUGAAAUAAAUUAUGAGCAUCAAG